rnacentral:rRNA from 1 species
AUUUCUUCGGGAUGAAGUUGCUUAUGACUGAGUGGCGGACGGGUGAGUAACGCGUGGGUAACCUGCCUUGUACUGGGGGAUAGCAGCUGGAAACGGCUGGUAAUACCGCAUAAGCCCACGGAUUCGCAUGAAGCAGUGUGAAAAACUCCGGUGGUACAAGAUGGACCCGCGUCUGAUUAGCUGGUUGGCGGGGUAACGGCCCACCAAAGCGACGAUCAGUAGCCGGACUGAGAGGUUGAACGGCCACAUUGGGACUGAGACACGGCCCAGACUCC